UACGUAGGUGGCAAGCGUUGUCCGGAAUUAUUGGGCGUAAAGCGCGCGCAGGCGGUCCUUUAAGUCUGAUGUGAAAGCCCACGGCUCAACCGUGGAGGGUCAUUGGAAACUGGAGGACUUGAGUACAGAAGAGGAAAGCGGAAUUCCACGUGUAGCGGUGAAAUGCGUAGAGAUGUGGAGGAACACCAGUGGCGAAGGCGGGUCUCUGGGCCGUAACUGACGCUGAGGAGCGAAAGCGUGGGGAGCGAACAGG
rnacentral:rRNA from 1 species